rnacentral:rRNA from 1 species
CGGAACACGUACAGAACCUUCCUUUAAGCGGGGGAUAGCCCAUAGAAAUGUGGAUUAAUACCCCAUAGUAAUGUUGAGUGGCAUCACUUAAUAUUUAAAGAUUUAUCACUUAAAGAUGGCUGUGCGGCUGAUUAGGUAGUUGGUGUGGGUAACGGCCCACCAAGCCAGCGAUCAGUAACUGGUGUGAGAGCACGACCAGUCACACGGGCACUGAGACACGGGCCCG